rnacentral:lncRNA from 1 species
UCCCCUCCGGUGGACCACAACUUGGCCUCAUUCAAGACGAUGUCUAGCAAAAUGGGUGGUGGGGCACUCUUGUGAAGGAAAACUCGAGUUUCUCUUGUUUUAUAUAGUUCAGGAGAUGAGCAUGGCGAGGAAGGUCAAGGCCUUUUUAUCGGGGAUGUUUAUGCCCAAACACUUAGACCACCAAUUUUUGACGGAUUCCUCAAGAUGCCAUGCCAAAAUAAACGCGUGCACUAGCUUAAGUUUGUCGAUUGCAAGUUUUCAAAGCCCAAGGAUGAAGGGACUUAUAGAAGAGGUGUGCUCCGGUUUCUUGCACCCUCUUGCAAAUAGGGCAAAGACCAUAAUUCUUAACCCCUUUUCCCAACCAAACAAAAAAUAUGAUUUUGAACUAUGCCCAAGUCUUCCAAACCAUGUGGAGAUAGGAUCAUGCCCAAGUACCGUGGCUUGUAUGUCGUAGCCGCCGAGUAAACUCUAUCGUUGGAGUGUUUUUCACACUAUGCCAUCCUCAUUUUGCACAUCAUGGCAGAAAUCACGCACGAGCAUCCAAAGAAUAAAGAGCUUUCGAUGUGCAAUGAUAUACGAGUCAUACGACAUAGAAAUUAUAUCAUUCAAAACUUUAAAAAUAUAAAUUUCAUGAUGUAAGAGCAUAUUCAAUAGUUUAUGUAAAAUACAUCACCAAAUUGUGAUUGGAAUAAAAUUUAAAUCACAAAAAAGUGACAUUUUACAUGCUCCAAUAAAUGAUGAAAAAUAGGGCAGCCGCUCCACAAUUUACGUAAAGAAAUCUAACACCGAACUACUAAAGAAAUCACCAUCGGCAUCCCCUGCAGAAGGAGGCGCUUGCUCCAAUCGUCGACUGCACGACAGCAGAGCUAGAGCUUAGCGGCUCGCUCCAAUCGCCCGGAGAGAUGAUCGGAGCCGAAGCUCGGUGGCCCUGGCCAGCAUGCUCAUAGCAAGAGGCGGUUGCUCCAAUCGCGCGAGGAGACUAGCGGAGCCGGAGCUCGGCAGCCACGACCAGCAACUCAUGGUGGUGGUGCAAAUCCAUUGCGCAUGUUUAGGGGAGGCAUGGCGGAGGAGCGUUGGUGGACGCGGAAUGACGGACCUGGCGGUAUGAGUCAGAAUGGACCAACAAUAUAAUUGUGCAUGUAAUUUUAGUUUUUUUUUUAAAAAAAAUUG